rnacentral:rRNA from 1 species
AGAGUUUGAUCCUGGCUCAGAUUGAACGCUGGCGGAAUGCUUUACACAUGCAAGUCGAGCGGCAGCGCGGGGCAACCUGGCGGCGAGCGGCGAACGGGUGAGUAACAUAUCGGAACGUAUCCAUAAGUGGGGGACAACCUGGCGAAAGCCAGGCUAAUACCGCAUACGCUCGAGAGAGGAAAGUGGGGGAUCGUAAGACCUCACGCUUUGGGAGCGGCCGAUAUCAGAUUAGCUAGAUGGUGGGGUAAAGGCUUACCAUGGCGACGAUCUGUAGCUGGUCUGAGAGGAUGAUCAGCCACACUGGGACUGAGACACGGCCCAGACUCCUACGGGAGGCAGCAGUGGGGAAUUUUGGACAAUGGGGGCAACCCUGAUCCAGCCAUUCCGCGUGAGUGAAGAAGGCCUUCGGGUUGUAAAGCUCUUUUGUCGGGGACGAAACGGUUACAGCUAAUAUCCGUGACUACUGACGGUACCGGAAGAAUAAGCACCGGCUAACUACGUGCCAGCAGCCGCGGUAAU